rnacentral:lncRNA from 1 species
UUAAAAUAAAAGGAUUUCUGGAUUUUGUAAAAUAAAAGGUUUUCUACCCCUCGUGGUAGCGUUUUUAAAAGAUAAAAAUUUUCGUGUAGGGAACAGUUUUUAAAAGAUUUUCUGUGACUUUUGUAUCUUAGUAUUUCAAAACCUGUUUCUGUGGUUGGGAACAUUUUAACUAAUAGAUGUGAAUCUGUGGUGAAUGGUGUAUGAAUAUAUAUAACGGUUGGUUAUUUGUAUGUUCAUUUGUUGUGGUUGUGCCAGGGUGACUUCUUAUACUUGUGUGACGUCGUGCAAAUACAGGGGAGACUCUGACCGUGUGAACAGUGAAUUUUCUGUAUUUGUGUAAGGACUGAGAUUUUUGCAGUGUAGCUAAACUCUCAGUUGACGAUGUUUUUGUGUAUAAUUUAAUUACAAAAGCACUCGUCAAAUUUCGGGGGAAAACGAGUUAAAACG